ensembl:lncRNA
AACAAGGAGACUCAUAUUUAAGAAAAGAGAAACAGAAAGUGUCCCUUUUCCCCUCUGCUCUUCCUCCAGCAGUGCAGUGUGGUCCACUGGCAAGAGAAGGUGACAGCAGAAGGCAUCCUCUAUAAGGGUGCUGCGAGGGAAGAACACUGUUAAGUGAGCCAUGUGAGUGAGGGAUUUAUCUCCUGCUUAUGAAACAGUCAGCUCCUUUCUCAGCUUCAAAGAGAACAAAAAGCCCUCACCCAGUGGCUGAUGGAAGCAGAGGCAGACACCCACAGAUAUACACUGAACUGAACUCUGGAACUUUGUUGAAGUGAGGGAUGAAUGAAGAUCAAAUGGGCUGGAAAUGGGAGAAUCUCCCUGUGAAUGAUUGACCAAGACAGUCAUAGAAGCUGUGUAAAUUGGGAGAGUUCCAAAAUUACUUGCAAGUUAGUAAGCAAAAAAAUAUGGGUAGUUGCUACAACCAGUCACAAUCUCAUCUACGUUUUAACGACAUGGCUAUCAUUGAUGGUUCUUUGUGGAAAGUAUGAGAGGUUUGUGUCAACAUCAGAAAAUGGUGAAAUCCAGCAGCACAUCUCACUCAGCUGUGUGAACAGAGAGGAGUGACCUCUAUGGCAGCCCAAUGACAGCUCUGGAGAAGAUAUCACUGCCAAAGAAAAUGAAAGCAGCCUGGAAAUAUAAGCAUAAGACAGAGAAAAUACAACAGUCAGGGCAGAGAAUGUUAGCUCCAGGAAAAAAAUUGAAGAGAGGAAAAGGUCUGAAGAGCUCUUAUGUCAAGUCUAGAUUCUUUUCAGCUCUUUGUUAAAGCACCAAGAUAAACAGACCAGGGUGAACCUACUGGAAAAACAAACACAUGUGUAUACUUUAGACAUUGGAAAUAAGACAUCUGAUCAUCAAAACAAGCAUCAGCUGUGUGUGACUCUUUUGGCUCUCUGAAGAUCAAGAAGUCAAAUGGGUUUAAAGACUGGCUCUACUGUUAAGAGGACUUUGGGAGCCCAUUCACUAUGGAGGGAUACUAUUGCAGCCCAGAUACAGCAAGGAGGGCCUAGGCCCUCCCCCAAAUGAUAUGACAGACUUGGAAGGUCCCUUGUGGAGGACCUCACUAUCCCUGGGGAGAAGUUAGGGGGUUGGGAGUAACAUGGGAGGAUGGGAAGUCAAGGGAAUGGGGGGAUGGAUAUGUAAAUAUCAGUAGUAAUUAAAGAAUUAAAAAAAAGAAGUCAAAUAGUUCAAUUGGAAUUGCUGAACCAGCGUCAUGAGUUUGCUUUCAUAGUGGCAUUGUUCACUCUCCAGGGAGGCCCUUAAAACGGGAAAAUUUCCCUCACCCUAAAGUCCAGCUGCUGCAAACUAAAACCUAGUGGAAUGUCUCAAGCACACCAUGUGGUACCUAAUCACCUACUAUUGAGAUCUGCUGGUCCAUGUUGACCACUGUAGGAAGCAGCAGAUAUUUCUCACUCUUAUACCAGAAAAUUCUGGACAGUAGUCUAUGUUUGCUUAUGGACACUUGGAAUCACACCUUCCAUCUCUUGCAUAAGCAUCUACCCAUCAACCACUCGCACUCUGGCAUGCCAG